GACGAACGCUGGCGGCACGCCUAACACAUGCAAGUCGAGCGGUUCGGAGAUUGGAACUGAGGGAUUAAGGGAUUAAUCUCUGAGCUCCAAUUUCCGGAUAGCGGCGGACGGGUGAGUAACACGUGAGGAACCUGCCUUUCAGAGGGGGAUAACGUUUGGAAACGAACGCUAAUACCGCAUGAAGUAUAUUUACGGCAUCGUAGAUAUACCAAAGGAGCAAUCCGCUGAAAGAUGGCCUCGCGGCUGAUUAGCUAGUUGGCGGGGUAACGGCCCACCAAGGCGACGAUCAGUAGCCGGACUGAGAGGUUGAACGGCCACAUUGGGACUGAGACACGGCCCAGACUCCUACGGGAGGCAGCAGUGGGGGAUAUUGCACAAUGGGCGAAAGCCUGAUGCAGCGAUGCCGCGUGGAGGAAGAAGGUCUUCGGAUUGUAAACUCCUGUCUUUAGGGACGAUAAUGACGGUACCUAAGGAGGAAGCUCCGGCUAACUACGUG
rnacentral:rRNA from 1 species